rnacentral:rRNA from 1 species
UNANGGAAGGCAGCAGGCGCGUAAAUUNNNCAAUNCCUAACUCAGGGAGGUAGUGACAAGAAAUAACGANCUGAGGCCUUUGCUUCAGGAUUGCAAUGGGAAGAAUUUAAACCCCUUUUCGAGUAACAAUUGGAGGGCAAGUCUGGUGCCAGCAGCCGCGGUAAUUCCAGCUNCAAUAGCGUAUAUUUAAGUUGUUGCAGUUAAAAAGCUCGUAGUUGGAUUUCUGGCAGGACUCUAAUGUCCGCUCGUUGCGUGUGCAUAUGAGUCCUGCCAUCCUUCUGUUAACUGUUCUGGUAUUCGUUUACUGGUUCAGAGCCCAGAUAUUUUACCUUGAGAAAAUUAGAGUGUUUCAGGCAGGCUUGCGCUUGAAUACAUUAGCAUGGAAUAAUAGAAUAGGACUUUGGUCUCUUUUGUUGGUUUGAGGGACUAGAGUAAUGAUUAAUAGGGACAGUUGGGGGCAUUAGUAUUUAAUUGUCAGAGGUGAAAUUCUCGGAUUUGUUAAAGACUAACUUAUGCGAAAGCAUUUGCCAAGGAUGUUUUCAUUAAUCAAGAACGAAAGUUAGGGGAUCAAAGACGAUCAGAUACCGUC